UACACCGCAGGUCACGCGCUUCAGACCGAACUCUGGACCCGCAAGAGACCUGGUCCAGACCUGAUCCAGUCCAAGUCCAGACCCAGACCCAGACCCGGUGCAGACCCGGUGCAGACCCAGCGAUGUGCGCGCGGAACCCCGGAACCAGGCUCGACCUGCAGUGGGUUUCUUCGGCCCGGGUGAACACUCAGGCUGUUCUGAGGAGAGCCCAACAAAUCCACAACACAAGACUCCCCAAGAACCAAUGGCAGGCGGCGUGGCUGCUCAGGGCUCUCUCCUGCAUAGAUCUGACCACACUCUCUGGAGACGAUUCUCCCUCAAACGUUCUUCGUCUGUGUGUGAAAGCUCUGCACCCGCUCACACACGACCUGCUGCAGGCGCUGCACCUGCCACUGACAGGUUUUACUGUCGCUGCUGUUUGUGUUUAUCCAUCGAGAGUUUCUGACGCCGUGAAAAACCUGAGAGACGCAAACUCCAACCUCCCCGUCGCCUCAGUGGCGACCGGGUUCCCCGCGGGUCAGACUCCGCUCUCGUCGAGGUUGGCAGAGGUGCGGGCGGCGGUGGCGGACGGCGCCUCCGAGAUCGACAUCGUCAUCAACAGAACGCUGGCACUGACCGGAGACUGGGAGGGUCUGUUCCAGGAGCUGGUGCAGUUCCGUGAGGCCUGUGGUGAUGCCCACAUGAAGUCCAUCCUGGCCGUGGGCGAGCUGGGCACCUACACCACCGUCUACAGGGCCAGUCUGGUCUGCAUGAUGGCAGGUUCUGAUUUUAUCAAAACGUCGACGGGGAAAGAAUCUGUAAACGCCACGAUUCCCGUCGCCGUGGUGAUGUCCAGAGCAAUAAGAGACUUUUACCUCAGGACCGGACACAAGUCUGAAGAGGUUCUAGACUGCAGGACUUUCGUUAGUGCUUCAGACCAGCGCUCUGAAGGGGGAGGGACUCAGCCCAGGGAGCAAAGGGAGAGGAUUAUGAAACUGUGGGCUUCAAACCCGCCGGGGGCAUCAGGACGGCGCAGGAGGCCCUGGUUUGGCUGGUGCUCGUCAAAGAGGAGCUGGGCCGCGAUUGGCUGAACCCAGAGCUCUUCAGGAUCGGCGCCAGCAGCCUAUUGGCCGACAUCGAGAGACAGAUCCACCACCACGUCACCGGGCAGUACCCCGCCUUCUACCAGCUGCCCCUGGCAUGACCCGCCCCUCGCCCCUCGCCCGCCGCAGGGUGGACGCCUCUUCUGUGGGCAGGACGGGGCAGAUCCUCCUGGUUCAUCCAGACUCUGGAGAUGUUUCUCCUUGUACCUCAGACCAUUCCACGUUUUUACCUCAGAGCAUCUGAAAUAAAAACAGUUUCACCUCUGAA